AGAGCGAACGCUGGCGGCAGGCUUAACACAUGCAAGUCGAGCGGGCGUAGCAAUACGUCAUCGGCAGACGGGUGAGUAACGCGUGGGAACGUACCUUUUGGUUCGGAACAACACAGGGAAACUUGUGCUAAUACCGGAUAAGCCCUUACGGGGAAAGAUUUAUCGCCAAAAGAUCGGCCCGCGUCUGAUUAGCUAGUUGGUGAGGUAACGGCUCACCAAGGCGACGAUCAGUAGCUGGUCUGAGAGGAUGAUCAGCCACAUUGGGACUGAGACACGGCCCAAACUCCUACGGGAGGCAGCAGUGGGGAAUAUUGGACAAUGGGCGCAAGCCUGAUCCAGCCAUGCCGCGUGAGUGAUGAAGGCCCUAGGGUUGUAAAGCUCUUUUGUGCGGGAAGAUAAUGACGGUACCGCAAGAAUAAGCCCCGGCUAACUUCGUGCCAGCAGCCGC
rnacentral:rRNA from 1 species